rnacentral:lncRNA from 1 species
GGUACCAUUUGUUUUUGUGGGAACAAAGGACAGCAUCGCUAAUGCCACUGUUCUUUUGGAUUAUCACCUGAACUAUUUAAAGGAAGUAGACCAGUUGCGUUUGGAGAGAUUACAAAUUGAUGAGCAGUUGCGACAGAUUGGAGCUAGUUCUAGACCACCACCAAAUCGUACAGAUAAGGAAAAAAGCUAUGUGACUGAUGAUGGUCAAGGAAUGGGUCGAGGUAGUAGACCUUACAGAAAUAGGGGGCACGGCAGACGCGGUCCUGGAUAUACUUCAGGUACAAACUAAGCAUUUUACUCAGUAACUUUAUCUGUUCCUAGACUUAUAGCUGCUAAUCUCUAAUAUUCAUUAGAACCCCAUUAUAACAAUUUGCCGCUACAUGGUUUCCAAUUCACAGUGGGUUAAAUUGUGUUACAGGAGACAUAGAGUAAAAACCUGAUGAUAAACACGUAGAGUUCACAGGGCCGGUGCAAGUUCUGUUCAUGCUCUGAUUGGGGGUAAAUCUGCAAAGCCCUUGUGUGUUGAUGAUUUUCUUAAGGCCUCUCCUGAUUUUAUAACUGUAUAGUCAAAACUUUUUUCAUUUGUGUACUGUGGCUCAUUUUUAUUUUGUCAGGUAUGUGCUGGUCAUACUUGCUGGAUGGACUGUGUAAAUCAGGGGUCUGCCUCUUGUGGCUCAUAAGGUGAUUUUGAGUGACAUGGCCAAAGUCAGCCCUAGGCACAGUCAAGAAGUAGGCGAAGUUUCUCUUUGCCUUCCCAGCUUUUCUGUCCGUGCUUCUUUCUUCUCUCCCAGUACCUUUCAGUGAACCUGAUCCCC